GCUGGGUAUGUUGGUUUAUUCCUGUAAUUCCACCUUCUUGGGAGGCUGAGACAGGAGGAUCACCAGUUCAAAGCCAGCCUCAGCAAUGGUGAGGUGCUAAGCAACUCAGUGAGACCCUGUCUCUA
rnacentral:sRNA from 1 species